rnacentral:rRNA from 1 species
UACAGAGGGUGCAAGCGUUGUUCGGAAUUACUGGGCGUAAAGCGCGUGUAGGUGGCAUGGUAAGUCUCGUGUGAAAGCCCUGGGCUCAACCCAGGAAGUGCGCGAGAUACUGUCGUGCUGGAGUGAUGGAGAGGAUGGCGGAAUUCCCGGUGUAGAGGUGAAAUUCGUAGAUAUCGGGAGGAACACCUGUGGCGAAGGCGGCCAUCUGGACAUUUACUGACACUGAGACGCGAAAGCGUGGGUAGCAAACAGGAUUAGAUACCCCCGUAGUCC